GUAAACAUAGUUUAAAAAAAAUUCUAGUUUGUGAUUCUAGAAAUAGAGGUUGAAACCCUCUUGUUCACC
rnacentral:tRNA from 1 species